CCUGUGGGUUUUAACUGAAAAUGACAGAUGUUACUCUUUGCCUCUAUUUUCUUUAAAGUAGACACCUUCAACUCCAUACGAUGUAUAUAUAUUCGAUAGCUUUGUUUCCACUUCUCGUCCUUUAUGCUGUUACAAAUAACAUUGACGCUGCAGGAUGUAAAGGAUGUUACUAUGAUGGACACUGCUUUUGUAAUAAUCAAAAAGGCAUUUAUAAAGGAAAGUAUGAAUGUAAGACACUUCAAUGCAAAAGGAAAAGUCUAACAAUUAUUGA